rnacentral:SRP_RNA from 1 species
UGCAGCCGGGGAGUUAGCGGUGCCUUGUACCUGCAAUCCGCUACAGCAGGGGUGAUAUCUAAGCCAAGGGCUGUUCACUGUAGGGCUGCCCCUAGUAAGUGACGAUGAAGUUUGGGUCUUACGCAACAGGAACUUAUGAACCGUGUCAGGUCAGGAAUGAAGCAGCACUAAGUAAGACCUUCUGUGUGCCGUAAGGUAGCCUGGACGGAGUUAACUGCUAGGGUACCGCUUAUGGUGUCAGUUCGAAGCUGGAUGCACGG